rnacentral:rRNA from 1 species
AUUGAACGCUGGCGGAAGGCUUAACACAUGCAAGUCGAGCGGUAACAGAGAGAAGCUUGCUUCUCUGCUGACGAGCGGCGGACGGGUGAGUAAUGCCUAGGAAUCUGCCUAGUAGUGGGGGAUAACUUGCCGAAAGGUAAGCUAAUACCGCAUACGUCCUACGGGAGAAAGGAGGGGACCUUCGGGCCUUUCGCUAUUAGAUGAGCCUAGGUCGGAUUAGUUAGUUGGUGAGGUAAUGGCUCACCAAGACCGCGAUCCGUAACUGGUCUGAGAGGAUGAUCAGUCACACUGGAACUGAGACACGGUCCAGACUCCUACGGGAGGCAGCAGUGGGGAAUAUUGGACAAUGGGGGUAACCCUGAUCCAGCCAUGCCGCGUGUGUGGAGAAGGUCUUAGGAUUGUAAAGCACUUUAAGUUGGGAGGAAGAGCAGUUAACUAAUAUUUGACUGUUUUGACGUUACCGACAGAAUAAGCACCGGCUAACUUCGUGCCAGCCGCCGCGGUAA